rnacentral:lncRNA from 1 species
GCAAUUUUCCGGUGACCUAAGUGACUAAUUGCGUCAAAAUCACUAAUUAUCAGUGUUGUGCAAAAACCAACACCACCACAAGGUUCCCAAGAGAGACCCGACCAAACCCCAGCAAACCCCACCGGAAAACUGCCCUUCACGAGCCCUCACGCGCCAGAUUUAUCAAGGCAGAUCAGACUCACGCGCCCCACGCGCCGGGGCGUGAGCACUGUUCCGGUGAGAUUCUGACGAAGGUCCUUCAGGGCAGUUGGAUCGCCCUCAAAUUCCGAGCCUACCCAUAUUUUUACUUUUCAAUUCGACCACUUUGAAGUUUUUCCGGCAUCUACAGUAUUUUUCCGGCAAAAACAGUAUUUCCUUCAUCUGUUUCAGCAAGUUUUCAACGAUGUCUUUGGGACUCGAUGCUUUCGGGUCUAGAAACCCGGGUUCGAUUUGAAGUUUUUCGGCAUCUACAGUGAUAUAUUCCGGGAUCUACAGUACUUUUCCGGCAAAAACAGUAUUUCCUUCAUCUACUUCAGCAAGUUUUCAACGAUGUCUUUGGGACACGAUGCUUUCGGGUCUAGAAACCCGGGUUCGAUAUUAACUAUAUAUGUAACAAGUUCGGUACAUAUGAUUUAUAUGCACC